AUACUUACCUGGCAGGGGAGAUACCAUGAUCACGAAGGUGGUUUUCCCAGGGCGAGGCUUAUCCAUUGCACUCGGAUGUGCUGACCCCUGCGAUUUCCCCAAAUGUGGGAAACUCGACUGCAUAAUUUGUGGUAGUGGGGGACUGCGUUCGCGCUCUCCCCUG
ensembl:snRNA U1 U1 spliceosomal RNA